rnacentral:rRNA from 1 species
GAUGAACGCUGGCGGCGUGCCUAAUACAUGCAAGUCGAGCGAAUGGAUUAAGAGCUUGCUCUUAUGAAGUUAGCGGCGGACGGGUGAGUAACACGUGGGUAACCUGCCCAUAAGACUGGGAUAACUCCGGGAAACCGGGGCUAAUACCGGAUAACAUUUUGAACCGCAUGGUUCGAAAUUGAAAGGCGGCUUCGGCUGUCACUUAUGGAUGGACCCGCGUCGCAUUAGCUAGUGGGUGAGGUAACGGCUCACCAAGGCAACGAUGCGUAGCCGACAGGGUAGGGGGAUAGGCCACACUGGGACUGAGACACGGGCCAGACGCCUACUGGAGGCAGCAGUAGGGAAUCGUCCGCACUGGACGAAAGUCUGACGGAGCAACGACGGGUGAGUGAUGAAGGCUUUCGGGUCGUAAAACUCUGUUGUUAGGGAAGAACAAGUGCUAGUUGAAUAAGCUGGCACCUUGACGGUACCUAACCAGAAAGCCACGGCUAACUACGUGCCAGCCGCCGCAGUAA